rnacentral:misc_RNA from 1 species
CGCUAAGCCCACAAUUGGCGAUAAGAGAGUGCGAUUUUUGAAGGUUUAGCAAAGCAAGCGGUCGGCAAAUUGUGGCUUGGUGUUGGUGGUGGACUGUUGGGGUCAAAAACGAUGGUUUUUGUAUGGCCUCCAUGUCUCUUCCCGUUGCCUCUUUACUUGAUCCAUCAUGUAAACACUCUUUUCAUUUGCAGCAACUGCAUAAAUUUAAGUGCUCAUGAUUUUAAAAUUUUUAAUGCAAAAGCAUUGUUUAAUUCCAUUAUUAGCAUUCAUGCCUACGGGACUUGCUUGUG